ensembl:lincRNA
AUUCCACCCAAAUGGAGAGGAGGGGCUGCUUCUGGUUUGAACUAGUUCUUGAGGCAGCGGAGCCUGGUACCAACAUCCCUGGACCAGAGAUGUGGAUAUUAGGAUUUUUGUCCUUGCUCUAUUACGAUGGGGCUUCCUGGCUCAUUGUAAAUGGAGACUAAAUGAAUCAGCCCCCGAAUUCCAUGCCAGACAGUUCAGCUGACAGAAGGAACUGAAUGUGACCUAGUCUGCUUGCUAUUUCUAGGGAAAUGGAGUCAGAAUUUUUAGAGUACAGAGAAGAGAACUUUCGCCUGUUAAAGUAUUUUGCACGGGAGUGAAACCCUUCAUUGUGUGACUAAAUCAAUGGAGAUUAUCUUCUCAGUUGGAAUUUCCUUUUGUCUGCACGUGUAUUCUGCCAACAUCUGCUCCUACGUUCACUUCAGUCGAUGAGUUCUCAAGUGAAGGACUUGAUUCAAGUCUCCAAAAACGUGAUCUUCCCUCAUGAUGCCAAUUAUGCAGAAACAAUGGACUUCUGCUCAAUAGUUAACUAUUCACCAUGUUUGAAAGAAAAAAUCCUGGAAUGUUUACUUCAAAUAUGAAAGUGUCAGCUCAAAGGAAAACUUUUAAUAAUUCUCUGGAGUAGGGGAAGAGUUCUAGAGGAAGCCUUCUUGCAACUUUAACCAAAAUGCUAUGGAUUGUGUAUAUGAUAAGAGCAGAAAGUGUUGAUCCCAGGAGAAUACACAUAAACAGAGGAGGUAAUUAGAUUAAUCAUUUUGACACCUGAAAGGAUGACAAGAAACUUUUAACCUACUGAUAAUCAGCGGAGGGUGCUGUCAUUAUAGAUGGCUCAGCCAGACUAUGGGGUAUCACAUUAGCUAACUGCCUGGCCAAUUAGAGGCAUGUAAUUCUUUCAUAUACUUAGCAUAGAAGUGAAGAUGAUUUAAAACAGUUUCAUUGUCUCUGACACAUAUCCAAAUUUUUGAUAACAGCUAAGCCCUUUACUAAGUAAUUGAAUAAAAUAAUGC